rnacentral:rRNA from 1 species
ACUUAUGGCCAUACCACCCUGAAAACGCCCGAUCUCGUCUGAUCUCAGAAGCAUACCACGGUCAGGCCUGGUCAGUACCUGGAUGGGAGACCACCUGGGAAUACCGGGUUCCGUAAGUU